AAGCUGCAGAUUUGGGCGGAACUUGCGUCACGUUCAAGGGUUUAAAUACUACCCCUCGGCUUCAAUACUUCCUCUUGUCAUUGGUGCCAUCUUAGGAAGGCUUUUCUUCUCAAGAUGAGAGCCAAGUGGAGGAAGAAGCGUAUGCGCAGGCUGAAGCGCAAAAGGCGAAAGAUGAGGCAAAGGUCCAAGUAGACUUCUCCUCCAUUGCUGCUUUUGAGACUGGCAAGCUGAACAUGGCUCUUGAGAACAGACUAUAAAGCAUGUUGCUGAAUAGCCAUCCCAAGGAAGCUGUCCUGCACUGGAAACUGAUCCCAACCACAGUUCACAUUAUGCAAGUUUUGGUUGAAAAUCUUCAGUUCUUCGAACAGUGACUGAGAUACCCUUUACAUCUGCUGUCAGGAGUUUUGGACUUGUUUGUGGUCUCAUGUAGCAAGUGUAAUUAAAGUGGUUUGUUAAAUCCA